AAAAGUAAGUAAGGGCACAUGGCGGAUGCCUUGGCUCUCGGAGGCGAUGAAGGACGUGAUAAGCUGCGAUAAGCCGCGGGUAGGUGCAAAUGACCUUUGAUCCGCGGAUUUCCGAAUGGGACAACCCGAUAUCCUGAAGGGAUAUCAUCCCGCAAUGCGGGAGGCUAACGCAGGGAACUGAAACAUCUUAGUACCUGCAGGAAAAGAAAAUAAAUAAUGAUUCCCCCAGUAGUGGCGAGCGAACGGGGAACAGCCCAAACCAUCCAUGUUACGGCAUGUGUGGGGUUGUAGGACCACGUUGUGGCAAGAAAGUUGGUGAGCAGAAUGUUCUGGAAAGUACAGCCAUAGAGCAUGAUAGCUGCGUAUGCGAAGCCAACCGAAGCCUAGUGGUAUCCUGAGUAGCGCGGAGCACGAGGAAUUCUGCGUGAAUCUGCCGGGACCAUCCGGUAAGGCUAAAUACUCCCGAGAGACCGAUAGUGAACCAGUACUGUGAAGGAAAGGUGAAAAGCACUUCGAACAGAAGAGUGAAAUAGUUCCUGAAACCAUGUGCCUACAAGCGGUCGGAGCACUUUUAGUGUGACGGCGUGCCUUUUGCAUAAUGAACCUACGAGUUACUUUUUCCGGCGAGGUUAAGGAUCUCAGAUCCGCAGCCGAAGCGAAAGCGAGUCUGAACAGGGCGUAUAGUCGGAAGGAGUAGACGCGAAACCAAGUGAUCUACCCUUGGGCAGGUUGAAGGAUGGGUAACACCAUCUGGAGGACCGAACCAAUAAGCGUUGAAAAGCUUCUGGAUGACCUGAGGGUGGGGGUGAAAGGCUAAUCAAACUUGGAGAUAGCUCGUACUCCCCGAAAUGCAUUUAGGUGCAGCCUUGACUUAUACUGGCAUGAGGUAGAGCGACUGAUAAGAUGCGAGGGCUUCACCGCCUAUCAAGUCUUGACAAACUCCGAAUGCGUGUCAGUUCUAUGUCAGGAGUGAGGGCAUGGGUGCUAAGGUCCAUGUCCUAAAGGAGAACAAUCCGGACCAACAGCUAAGGUCCCGAAAUGAAUACUAAGUUGAACUAACGAAGUCAGAUUGCUAAGACAGCUAGGAUGUUGGCUUGGAAGCAGCCAUUCAUUUAAAGAGUGCGUAACAGCUCACUAGUCGAGGAGUUUGGCGUGGAUAAUAAUCGGGCAUAAGUAUUCUACCGAAGCUUUGGGAUGAGAAAUCAUCGGUAGGGGAGCAUUCCACUCAGCGUCGAAGGUAAGGCGUGAGCCUUGCUGGAGCGUGUGGAAAAGCAAAUGUAGGUAUAAGUAACGAUAAAGGGGGUGAGAAACCCCCUCGCCGAAAGACUAAGGUUUCCUGAUCAACGCUAAUCGGAUCAGGGUAAGUCGGGUCCUAAGGCUCAGCCGAACGGCGAGGCCGAUGGCAGAACCGGUUAAUAUUCCGGUACUACCUUAAGGAGUGACGUGGAGACGGAGUCGUGACAGCGCCGCGGACUGACGGAAUAGUCCGUUGAAGGGUGUAGAUGUUGAUUGUUCCAGGCAAAUCCGGAAUGAGAGUCGAACCUGACAGUAUGGAGCGUCCUUCUGGACAAUCCAAUAGUGCGUGUAAUCAUACUUCCAAGAAAAUCCGCUAAACUUAAUCCUUACGGUACCCGUACCGCAAACGGACACACGUAGUCGGGUUGAAUAUACUAAGGCGCUUGAGUGAUUCACGGUUAAGGAACUAGGCAAACUGACCCUGUAACUUCGGGAUAAAGGGUCCUCAAGCAAUUGAGGCGCAGAGAAUAGGUCCAGGCAACUGUUUAACAAAAACACAGGGCUGUGCAAAAUUGAAAGAUGAAGUAUACAGCCUGACACCUGCCCGGUGCUGGAAGGUUAAGAGGAGACGUCAUCGCAAGAGAAGCGUUGAAUUGAAGCCCCAGUAAACGGCGGCCGUAACUAUAACGGUCCUAAGGUAGCGAAAUUCCUUGUC
rnacentral:rRNA from 1 species